rnacentral:rRNA from 1 species
AGUGAACGCUGGCGGUAGGCCUAACACAUGCAAGUCGAACGGCAGCACAGGAGAGCUUGCUCUCUGGGUGGCGAGUGUUGGACGGGUGAGGAAUACAUCGGAAUCUACUCUGUCGUGGGGGAUAACGUAGGGAAAUUUACGCUAAUACCGCAUACGACCUACCGGUGAAAGCAGGGGACCUUCCGAGCUUGCGUGAGUCAAUGAGCCGAUGUCGGAUUAGCGAGUUGGCGGGGUAAAGGCCCACCAAGGCGACGAUCCGUAGCUGGUCUGAGAGGAUGAUCAGCCACACUGGAACUGAGACACGGUCCAGACUCCUACGGGAGGCAGCAGUGGGGAAUAUUGGACAAUGGGCGCAAGCCUGAUCCAGCCAUACCGCGUGGGUGAAGAAGGCCUUCGGGUUGUGAAGCCCUUUUGUUGGGAAAGAAAUCCAGCUGGCUAAUACCCGGUUGGGAUGACGGUACCCAAAGAAUAAGCACCGGCUAACUUCGUGCCAGCAGCCGCCGCCG